rnacentral:misc_RNA from 1 species
GGGCCCCCAACUGGAGGAG